CAGCAACGUAGCGGUCAUUAUUACACAAAAGGAAGUCACACUCAACCGUAUAUUCAGUAAAAGUGUCUAGUCUCCAAACCUCAAUUGAGUUAUAAAAAGCAAAUAGGUCUUUGUAUGCUCUGAAAAUUAACAUGAUUUUCUUGCAAUUUAGAACCAAUUUCUUUGCCAGUGAUCACCUUUAUUAACAGUCCUGAAGGUUCCUGCUUAGGACUUCCAGUGGUUAUAACCUGUGAAUCUAGCACAGGAUUUCAGCUGCAGUAUUCCUGGUACAAGAACAAUCAGACCGUGUCAAAUACCAAAAUUCUGGAGAUACAAUGUGGAUCACUUGUACAGAAUGAAGAGUAUAAAUGUGAAGCUGCUAACCAAUGGCAGAAAAGAAGUGUCCCUGUCAGAGUGGUGCUUUUAAAAUUCACUGAAGACACUUGUUCCUAUCAAGUGUUAACUGAAGAUGAGAAGCAAUACAAUUGUUCCUUCACCACCUCUGCUGCAACCACUGCUACAACUACUCACGUUGCAGUUACCUCGGAGACUACUACCCAGUGUUCAUCUGACUUUAUUUCAAGACUUUUCAGCAAUGAAUGGAAUCAUUGGCGAUGGAUUUUGUUUUUGGUGAUGACUUUUACUCUAUUACUGAUGUGUGUAGUCUUAAAAAGUAAAUUUGG